AUAUUCUGGUUUCUUUUCAGAUCAUAUAAAUCUUUGGCCUUUUACUGAAGUUAUCCAUGGAGAGAAGCCCUGAUGAAAUCCUUCCGGCUUGUUAAACAGGAAAGAAGUUUUUUUUU